UACGGGGGGAGCAAGCGUUGUUCGGAUUUACUGGGCGUAAAGGGCGCGUAGGCGGCGCAACAAGUCACUUGUGAAAUCUCCGGGCUUAACCCGGAGCGGUCAAGUGAUACUGUCGUGCUAGAGUGCGGAAGGGGCUACUGGAAUUCUCGGGUGUAGCGGUGAAAUGCGUAGAUAUCGAGAGGAACACCUGGCGGCGAAGGCGGGUAGCUGGGCCGACACUG
rnacentral:rRNA from 1 species